rnacentral:lncRNA from 1 species
CAUGGAUGGUGCUACUGAUGAGUGGGACAGAAAGAAAGAUAACCUGGGAGACUGGCAGGACAGAGCCAUGUCCACUCUUCCUAGUUUUCCGUGUUAGUCCAGUAAGUAUUUAUCGUCUAGAGCACGUGUUUGUGAUGAAAAUUAACCCAAGAGACUAGAGACCUAGAGACCUUUGAAAGCAAACAUAGCAAGCCUGAAAAGAAGAAAGUUGUCGUUCACCUGUGACUGUGCUCCAAAUCACACCGACGAAGAGCAACCACAGCACAAAGGAUGGCUAAAACAUUGACUUAUGCUGUCAACUGAAGCUGCAUAUUAGUGAUCUUAUCAUGUUCAGAAAAUACUGUUUCACUCUGAUCCACCCCAGUUCCACCUCUUACAACUUUUCUGCCCCCUCUUCAGCAAAGGUGGGUGCAAUACUGUGUGACAGCUUGACUGUGGAGAGGCUUGACACCAUUUUGCUGUGAAUUGAAUAACUCAGCAGAGGUAAGGGUGUGCCUGGUGAUAGGCUAACACACAUUACUGUUUCUGUUGACUAUAUCAUAAACUUGAAAUUAUCCUG